rnacentral:rRNA from 1 species
CUACGGGUGGCACCAGUGAGGAAUAUUGCACAAUGGGGGGAACCCUGAUGCAGCAACGCCGCGUGGAGGAUGACGCAUUUCGGUGUGUAAACUCCUUUUAUAUGUCAAGAAAAUGACGGUAGCAUAUGAAUAAGCGCCGGCUAACUCCGUGCCAGCAGCCGCGGUAAUACGGAGGGCGCAAGCGUUACUCGGAAUCACUGGGCGUAAAGGACGCGUAGGCGGGUUGAAAAGUCAGGUGUGAAAGCCUACAGCUUAACUGUAGAACUGCACUUGAAACUCUCAACCUAGAGUAUGGGAGGGGCAGAUGGAAUUAGUGGUGUAGGGGUAAAAUCCGUAGAUAUCACUAGGAAUACCUAAAGCGAAGGCGAUCUGCUGGAACAUUACUGACGCUAAGGCGUGAAAGCGUGGGGAGCAAACAGGAUUAGAUACCCCGGUAGUC